AGCCGCGGUAAUUCCAGCUCCAUUGGCGUAUAUUAAAGUUGUUGCGGUUAAAAAGCUCGUAGUUGGAUCUGUGUCCCGGAUGGUCGGUGCGCCGCUCGCGUGUCUUCACUGACUCUUCCGGACGUCCUGCCGGUGGACCGUUCGUCGGCCCCCUCGGUGUUCGCGCGGGCGGCCCUGACUCCCUCCGCGCUGCUCUUAACCGAGCGGUUCGGUGGGCCGGCAAGUUUACUUUGAACAAAUUUGAGUGCUCAAAGCAGGCGGCAAGUCGCUGAAAACUGUGUGCAUGGAAUAAUGGAAUAGGACUUCGGUUCUAUUUUGUUGGCUUUUCUGAACCCGAAGUAAUGAUUAAUAGGGACAGACGGGGGCAUUCGUAUUCAAGCGUUAGAGGUGAAAUUCUUGGAUCGCUUGAAGACGGACGGAUGCGAAACGUUUGCCAAGAAUGUUUUCGCUGAUCAAGAACGAAAGUUAGAGGUUCGAAGGCGAUCAGAUACCGCCCUAGUUCUAACCAUAAACGAUGCCAGCCAGCGAUGCGCCCGAGUUCCUCCGAUGACUGGGCGCGCACUUCCGGGAAACCAAAGCCUUUGGGUUCCGGGGGAA
rnacentral:rRNA from 1 species